rnacentral:rRNA from 1 species
CCCUGCCCCUUGUACACACCGCCCGUCGCUACUACCGAUUGGAUGGCUCAGUGAGGCUUUCGGACUGGCCCAGAGGGGCGGGCAACUGCUCCCCAGGGCCGGAAAGUUAUCCAAACUCGGUCAUCUAGAGG